UGGGGAAUAUUGGACAAUGGGGGCAACCCUGAUCCAGCCAUGCCGCGUGGAUGAAGAAGGCCCUAGGGUUGUAAAGUCCUUUCACCGCCGAGGAUAAUGACGGUAGGCGGAGAAGAAGCCCCGGCUAAUUUCGUGCCAGCAGCCGCGGUAAUACGAAAGGGGCUAGCGUUGUUCGGAAUUACUGGGCGUAAAGCGCGCGUAGGCGGCUUAUCAAGUUGGGGGUGAAAUCCCGGGGCUCAACCCCGGAACUGCCUCCAAAACUGGUAGGCUAGAGGAUAUGAGAGGAUAGUGGAAUUCCGAGUGUAGAGGUGAAAUUCGUAGAUAUUCGGAAGAACACCAGUGGCGAAGGCGACUGUCUGGCAUAUUUCUGACGCUGAGGCGCGAAAGCGUGGGGAGCAAACAGGAUUAGAUACCCCCGUAGUCC
rnacentral:rRNA from 1 species